CAAUAGCGUAUAUUAACGUUGUUGCAGUUAAAAAGCUCGUAGUUGGAUUUCUGGAGGGAGCGUCGGCCCGUAUUUACGAGUGCGUGACGUCUCUGUCCAUCCUUGCGGGAAGGCACGGCAUUGAUUUGUUGUGUCGGAUCGCAUCAUUUACUGUGAAAAAAUUAGAGUGUUCAAAGCAGGCUUUCGCUUGAAUACAUUAGCAUGGAAUAAUAAGAUAGGACUUUGGUGCUGUUUUGUUGGUUGAGCCUAAAGUAAUGAUUAAUAGGGAUAGUUGGGGGCACCUGUAUUGCGUUGUCAGAGGUGAAAUUCUUGGAUUUACGCAAGACAAACAGCUGCGAANGNGUCUGGNAAGGAUGUUUNCAUUA
rnacentral:rRNA from 1 species